AGCUCCAAUAGCGUAUAUUAAAGUUGUUGCAGUUAAAACGCUCGUAGUCGGAUUUCGGGGCGGUCUCGCCGGUCUGCCGAUGGGUAUGCACUGGCAGGGCCGUCCUUCCUUCCGGAGACUGCGCCUACUCUUAGCUGAGCGGGUGCGGGAGACGGAUCGUUUACUUUGAAAAAAUCAGAGUGUUUCAAGCAGGCAGCUCGCUUUUGCAUGGAUUAGCAUGGGAUAAUGAAAUAGG
rnacentral:rRNA from 1 species